rnacentral:rRNA from 1 species
UACGAAGGGUGCAAGCGUUACUCGGAAUUACUGGGCGUAAAGCGUGCGUAGGUGGUUCGUUAAGUCUGAUGUGAAAGCCCUGGGCUCAACCUGGGAAUGGCAUUGGAUACUGGCGGACUGGAGUGCGGUAGAGGAUGGCGGAAUUCCCGGUGUAGCAGCGAAAUGCGUAGAGAUCGGGAGGAACAUCCGUGGCGAAGGCGGCCAUCUGGACCAGCACUGACACUGAGGCACGAAAGCGUGGGGAGCAAACAGG